rnacentral:rRNA from 1 species
UGGUCAAGUUAUUAAGGGUGCAGGGUGGAUGCCUUGGCACUAGGAGCCGAUGAAGGACGUGAUAAGCUGCGAUAAGCUUCGGGGAGUUGCACGUAAACUUUGAUCCGAAGAUUUCCGAAUGAGGAAACUCACUUAGAGUAAUGUCUAAGUAUCAUUAAGUGAAUACAUAGCUUAAUGAGGGGAACUCAGGGAACUGAAACAUCUAAGUACCUGAAGGAAGAGAAAGAAAUUCGAUUCCGUAAGUAGCGGCGAGCGAACGCGGAUUAGCCCAAACCAAUAAAGUUUUCUUUAUUGGGGUUGCGGACAUAUCAUAACGAAGAGGUAUCGUAAUUGAAGAGGUUUGGAAAGACCCACCACAGAAGGUAAUAGUCCUGUAUGUUAAACGAGAAGACUUCAGAUAUGAUCCAGAGUACCACGGGACACGUGAAACCCUGUGGGAAGCAGGAGGGACCACCCUCCAAGGCUAAAUACUACCUAGUGACCGAUAGCGUAUAGUACCGUGAGGGAAAGGUGAAAAGAACCCCGGGAGGGGAGUGAAAUAGAACCUGAAACCCUGCACUUACAAGCUGUGGAAGCACAUUUCUUGUGUGACCGCGUACUUUUUGUAGAACGGGCCAACGAGUUACGUUAAGUAGCAAGGUUAAGCACUUAAGGUGCGGAGCCGUAGCGAAAGCGAGUUUUAACUGAGCGUUCAGUUACUUGACGUAGACCCGAAACCGGGCGACCUACCCAUGAGCAGGAUGAAGCGAAAGUAAAAUUUCGUGGAGGUCCGAACCCACGAGCGUUGAAAAGCUCGGGGAUGACUUGUGGGUAGCGGUGAAAUUCCAAUCGAGCCCGGAGAUAGCUGGUUCUCCCCGAAAUAGCUUUAGGGCUAGCCUCAAGGUGAGAGAUACGGAGGUAGAGCACUGAAUGUCCUAGGGGGUAUUGCACCUACCGAAGACUAUCAAACUCCGAAUGCCGUCAUCUUAUACUUGGGAGUCAGACUGUGGGUGAUAAGAUUCAUAGUCGAAAGGGCAACAGCCCAGAUCGUCAGCUAAGGUCCCUAAAUGUAAGUUAAGUGGUAAAGGAUGUGGGAUUGCACAGACAACCAGGAUGUUGGCUUAGAAGCAGCCACUCAUUCAAAGAGUGCGUAAUAGCUCACUGGUCGAGUGAUCCUGCGCCGAAGAUUUCCGGGGCUAAAACUUACUACCGAAGCUACGGCAUCAGUAAUGAUGGGUAGGGGAGCUUCCCAUACGGGUUGAAGCAUGACCGUAAGGACAUGUGGACAGUAUGGGAGUGAGAAUGUUGGCAUGAGUAGCGAGAUGUGGGUGAGAAUCCCACAGGCCGUAAACCCAAGGUUUCCAGGGGAAGGUUCGUCCGCCCUGGGUUAGUCGGGACCUAAGCUGAGGCCGAAAGGCGUAGGUGAUGGACAACAGGUUGAUAUUCCUGUACUACCGAUAACCGUUUGAGAGAAGGGAUGACACAGUAGGAUAAGCUAAGCACACUGUUGGUUAUGUGUGCCCAAGCAUUGAGGCAGUCAAAGUAGGCAAAUCCGCUUUGAUAAUGCUGGGAUGUGAUGGGGAGCGAAAUUUAGUAGCGAAGUAGCUGAUUUCACACUGUCAAGAAAAGUCUCUAUCGAGGUUAAAGGUACCCGUACCGCAAACCGACACAGGUGGGUGAGGAGAGUAUCCUAAGGCCAGCGAGAGAACUGUUGUUAAGGAACUCGGCAAAAUGACCCGUAACUUAGGGAUAAGGGGUGCCACCAUCAGGUGGCCGCAGAGAAUAGGCCCAAGCGACUGUUUACCAAAAACAUAGGUUUCUGCUAAGUCGCAAGACGAUGUAUAGGAGCUGACGCCUGCCCGGUGCUGGAAGGUUAAGGGGAUCUGUUAGAGCAAUCGAAGCAGUGAACUUAAGCCCCAGUAAACGGCGGCCGUAACUAUAACGGUCCUAAGGUAGCGAAAUUCCUUGUCGGGUAAGUUCCGACCCGCACGAAAGGCGUAACGAUUUGGGCACUGUCUCAACAACAGACUCGGUGAAAUUGUAAUUCCGGUGAAGAUGCCGGAUACCUGCGACAGGACGGAAAGACCCCAUGGAGCUUUACUGUAGCUUGACAUUGGGUUUUGGUACUACAUGUACAGGAUAGGUGGGAGGCUUUGAAACCAGGACGCCAGUUUUGGCGGAGCCAUCCUUGGGAUACCACCCUUGUAGUACUGGGACUCUAACCAUAGGCCAUGAAUCUGGUCUUGGGACACUGUCAGGCGGGCAGUUUGACUGGGGCGGUCGCCUCCCAAAAGGUAACGGAGGCGCUCAAAGGUUCUCUCAGUACGGUCGGAAAUCGUACGUAGAGUGUAAAGGCAAAAGAGAGCUUGAUUGCAAGACAUACAGGUCGAGCAAGGAUGAAAAUCGGACUUAGUGAUCCGGUGGUUCUGCGUGGAAGGGCCAUCGCUCAACGGAUAAAAGCUACCCUGGGGAUAACAGGCUUAUCUCCCCCAAGAGUCCACAUCGACGGGGAGGUUUGGCACCUCGAUGUCGGCUCAUCACAUCCUGGGGCUGUAGUAGGUCCCAAGGGUUGGGCUGUUCGCCCAUUAAAGUGGUACGCGAGCUGGGUUCAGAACGUCGUGAGACAGUUCGGUCCCUAUCCGUCGCAGGCGUAGGAAAUUUGAGAAGACCUGUCCUUAGUACGAGAGGACCGGGAUGGACGUACCUCUGGUGUACCAGUUGUUCUGCCAAGGGCAUGGCUGGGUAGCUAUGUACGGAAUGGAUAAGCGCUGAAAGCAUCUAAGCGCGAAGCCAACUUCAAGAUAAGAUUUCCCACCGCAAGGGUAAGACCCCAGAAAGACUAUCUGGUUGAUAGGUCGAAGGUGUAAGUGCAGCAAUGUAUUUAGCUUAUCGAUACUAAUAGGUCGAGGACUUGACCAAAUU